UACGGGGGGUGCGAGCGUUGUCCGGAAUCACUGGGCGUAAAGGGCGCGUAGGUGGUCUGAUAAGGGUGUGGUGAAAGCCCGGGGCUCAACCCCGGGUCGGCCGUGCCGACUGUUAGACUAGAGUGCUGUAGGGGCAGGCGGAAUUCCGGGUGUAGCGGUGGAAUGCGUAGAUAUCAGGAGGAACACCCGUGGCGAAGGCGGCACUCUGGCACGACCCUGACGCUGAGGCGCGAAAGCGUGGGGAGCGAACGGG
rnacentral:rRNA from 1 species